UUUAAAGUGAAAGUACGUUACUAAGGGGAUACUCAGUGCAGCAUACUCAGUUUAUAAUUGCUGUUAUACAAUACGGAUAUGAGCUUAAUGCAAAGUUCUGGAAUCACCAUAUUUCAAAGGAUACUGUUGAGAGAGGGUUUUUUGUUCGUGAAUUAAAUAGAGGAAAUAUGACAGGUGUAACAGGCGAUUUUGAAGGUUUGGAAAACUUUAAUUUGGAAGACCUCCAUGAAUUGCGACAUGAAGAAAAGGAAGAAGUUAAAAAACAGAUUGAAGCCAUAUAUAUUGAGGCAACCUCUUUGGAGAAAAAAGCCAGAG